rnacentral:rRNA from 1 species
UACGUAGGGUGCGAGCGUUGUCCGGAAUUAUUGGGCGUAAAGAGCUCGUAGGCGGUGUGUCACGUCGGCCGUGAAAACCUGGGGCUUAACUCUGGGCGUGCGGUCGAUACGGGCAUCACUAGAGUUCGGCAGGGGAGACUGGAAUUCCUGGUGUAGCGGUGAAAUGCGCAGAUAUCAGGAGGAACACCGGUGGCGAAGGCGGGUCUCUGGGCCACUACUGACGCUGAGAAGCGAAAGCAUGGGGAGCGAACAG